AUGUGCGCCUUUAGUGUUAUUGUGACGUGGUCUAGUGGUGAGAGGCUCUAGUUUAAAACGCCUGGACCUGGGUUCGAGUAGAUUAGGCGCUUGUUUUGUCUCUUUUUUAAAAAAUGAGGUUAAAUGAUUUGGAAAUGACGAAAUUAACCUUAUCUUCUACCUUUCAAUGUGAUAUCUCUGCAACCUCUGGCCGCUUUUUAAUUUUUUUUUUCUCGAUUUCACAGAUCUUUCUCACUAUUCUUGUAUGUUUUAGUGAAAAUACAUCAAAUCUAAGACACGCUUGCGAUAUC
rnacentral:lncRNA from 1 species